rnacentral:piRNA from 1 species
UAGAAGAUGAAGAAACAUGGGCAAUCAGGA